AGGCCACACCUUAGCAGGGCCCAAAGACGAGGCUAGCCUUUGAAACCAAAGCUAAGCUUGACCUACACCUUCAAAUUCGCCUUCAAUUAAGCCCUCUCGGUAGACCACAGCACUGCUGGGAGAUCCGUUCCUGGAGCAUCUGGGGAUUGUACUCUACCCCUAAACCCAACCCUUGACCUAAUCCUAACUGUAGGCCUACCACUGAGGCUCACGGCAAUCCUGCACCAGAGCCAGCUUCUGAUUGGGCCCUCACUUCAGCCCUCCAUGGAGAUCAUGGGAAUGGUGUCAUUUCUGCCCCAGCUACUCCCAUGGAUAGAAUCCUAACCCAGUUAAGGCUCCCUGCCCAUGGGGAUCCAAGUACUGGGUCUGAGGAAAACCCUUCACCUGACCCGUGCCUACACAGUCCCUCUCACUGAAGCCAUCCAGGGAGAUCAAGGAACUGGCUCCAAUUCAACCCUGAUGACUCCACCAGAUGGAAACCAAUCCAUAGUCAUGUGUAUGUCCCCAUCAGGACCCAAGUCCUAGGUAUGAGAACACCAGGGACAUGGGGCCAAGGGACGGUAUGGGCAACAUCAGCAUGGAACAUGGAACAUCACCAUGGCAUUCACAAAGCCUGGCGACACCUCAGGGGUGUCCUGAGGCCCCACGGUAACUGGGCCCUUGAACAUAUAGGACAAUUUCCCUUGAAAUAAAUGCUAUGCCUGGCCAGCA